rnacentral:rRNA from 1 species
GACGAACGCUGGCGGCGUGCUUAACACAUGCAAGUCGAACGGAAAGGCCCUGCUUUUGUGGGGUGCUCGAGUGGCGAACGGGUGAGUAACACGUGAGUAACCUGCCCUUGACUUUGGGAUAACUUCAGGAAACUGGGGCUAAUACCGGAUAGGAGCUCCUGCUGCAUGGUGGGGGUUGGAAAGUUUCGGCGGUUGGGGAUGGACUCGCGGCUUAUCAGCUUGUUGGUGGGGUAGUGGCUUACCAAGGCUUUGACGGGUAGCCGGCCUGAGAGGGUGACCGGCCACAUUGGGACUGAGAUACGGCCCAGACUCCUACGGGAGGCAGCAGUGGGGAAUAUUGAACAAUGGGCGGAAGCCUGAUGCAGCAAUGCCGCGUGCGGGAUGACGGCCUUCGGGUUGUAAACCGCUUUCGCCUGUGACGAAGCGUGAGUGACGGUAAUGGGUAAAGAAGCACCGGCUAACUACGUG